UACGUAGGGUGCAAGCGUUAAUCGGAAUUACUGGGCGUAAAGCGUGCGCAGGCGGUUUUGUAAGUCUGACGUGAAAUCCCCGGGCUCAACCUGGGAAUUGCGUUGGAGACUGCAAGGCUAGAAUCUGGCAGAGGGGGGUAGAAUUCCACGUGUAGCAGUGAAAUGCGUAGAGAUGUGGAGGAAUACCGAUGGCGAAGGCAGCCCCCUGGGAUAACACUGACGCUCAUGCACGAAAGCGUGGGGAGCAAACGAGG
rnacentral:rRNA from 1 species